UACGAAGGGGGCUAGCGUUGCUCGGAAUUACUGGGCGUAAAGGGAGCGUAGGCGGACAUUUAAGUCAGGGGUGAAAUCCCAGAGCUCAACUCUGGAACUGCCUUUGAUACUGGGUGUCUUGAGUGUGAUAGAGGUAUGUGGAACUCCGGAAGUGUAGAGGUGAAAUUCGUAGAAUAUUCGGAAGAACACCAGUGGCGAAGGCGACAUACUGGAUCAUUACUGACGCUGAGGCUCGAAAGCGUGGGGAGCAAACAGG
rnacentral:rRNA from 1 species